GAGACCGGCCCGGGGUCUCGAAGCCGUCCCAGAUGGAGAAGGGACCCCGGGGUACACGGCAGGACAUGCGGCCAGCAAGCGGGUGAGUCAGGCGGCCCUCCCACGAGCUCACCCCGUCCCCGUCCCCGUUCCUCUCACACUCGGUAAAGGGCCACUGCACGGGUGUAGAAAGAAAAACUCUGUGCGUUUUGCCUUUCUUCCCCAAACUGCCCACGUCUGGCAAAAUGAGGUGCCUCCGAAUGCCAGCCACGAAAACCGAGGUCCCACACGGGCCGACGAACCACAGGUCUCUUCCGAGGUCCCCAGGGGCCUGCGGCGCGCGGUCCCCGUGCAGAGGCUAAGCCGGAGGGGGAGAGCGCGGGCUGCCGGUUGACGGACCACCACCAGGCUGCAGGCCGUGGAGGCCGGGGCCUGAGGGGCCGGGCUCCUCUCACCCAGGGAGGACACCUGCACGAAAUCACAGUAACUUGGCUGGUUGGGUGACUUGCUUUUGUUCCCUGAACCUCACCUCAUGCACCUGUCCAGUGGCAGACCAAACGGACUGGCCCUCACAGGACUGGCCUUGCUACGGCGGAUGCAUCAGUGCAGCAGAGACCAGAGUCUUGUCCGUGUUUGUGUAACUGGAAAGGCAGGAACGGUUUCUGAGCGUCUGAGUCCAGGCCUUCCAUGGAGUUUAGAGCUGUACCCGGCGGGUCCGGCUGCGAUUGGCCACGUGGAGAACGAGGCUCACAGGCUUCGUCCCUGACGGGCAGCUUUCACUUACUACCAGGCAAUACUGGUGUUGACAAAUUAUCAAUUAUACACAUCAUGUAUCUUCUAUAUAUGCCAUAAAUAUGUAUUCUAUGUUUGUUGGUAUUACCUAUGAACAAGGACUUUGCCCCGCGGUGUUCGAGCGCCCAGCAGCCGGAGGGGACUGCUCUCCUCGCCGCGCUGAGCCGCGGUCCUGGGAAUGGACAGACCGGUACCAACGACCCAACACCGGGAGGAAGUUCAAGUAUUCUUUAUUCAAAGUUGAAAAAUGUACCAUACUGCAUUAUUGCAAAAAUUCACUGGUACAAAACACUCUGCAGCUGUACUCGAGGUUCCUGAAGCUAAGGCAGCUGUUCCAGAAAGGAGGAGGGGAAGGAGGAGGUAGCAGACGUCAAGGGAUUUCCAUUUCUCUUUCGAUGCCCACGUACUUGAGGGCGUCAGCCUGGCUGUAUCUGAAACGGCACGAGAAAGGCAUGAGCCGGCGUCCAGCCCAGACUACCCUGCCAGCCUGACGCUUGUGAGGUCCAGGGGGGCCGCGUGUCCUCAGCACCCUGACAGCAAGCACGACUUCCCACAGGAAGGACCCAGACGCCGACCAGGUAGGGUAUGAGCCAGCCAUGUCUUGGCCGUGAAAGUACUGAACGGUCAGGCUGUAGGAAGUACUUAAGCAGUUAAAGAAUACACUGCUGCCCGAAGCCCAGUACGGCCUGAAAUCCGCGAGCUCGCUGCGGAGCCGGACGGGAACGCCGUCACCAGCGGGCUCAAACGCGGGCUGCCCGCGUUCCUUCCCCACACGGGCAGACCGCAUGGUGUUGCCUCACAAAUACAUCCCCACCGACCCACCCACCGAGGGUUUGCGGCAGCCCUGCCUCCAGCGAGUCUGCUGGUGCCAUUUUUCCAACGGCAUUUGCCCACUUUGUGUUUCUAGGUGAGAUUUUGGUAAUUCUCACAGUA